UACGGGGGGAGCAAGCGUUAUCCGGAUUCACUGGGUUUAAAGGGUGUGUAGGCGGGUAUUUAAGUCAGUGGUGAAAUCUCCAGGCUCAACCUGGAAACUGCCAUUGAUACUAUUUAUCUUGAAUUCUGUUGAGGUGGGCGGAAUACAUCAUGUAGCGGUGAAAUGCUUAGAUAUGAUGUAGAACACCGAUUGCGAAGGCAGCUCACUAAACAGACAUUGACGCUGAGGCACGAAAGCGUGGGGAUCAAACAGG
rnacentral:rRNA from 1 species